rnacentral:rRNA from 1 species
UGGGAAUAUUGGACAAUGGGCGCAAGCCUGAUCCAGCCAUGCCGCGUGAGUGAUGAAGGCCUUAGGGUUGUAAAGCUCUUUCGACGGGGACGAUAAUGACGGUACCCGUAGAAGAAGCCCCGGCUAACUUCGUGCCAGCAGCCGCGGUAAUACGAAGGGGGCUAGCGUUGCUCGGAAUCACUGGGCGUAAAGGGCGCGUAGGCGGACGUUUAAGUCAGAGGUGAAAGCCCAGGGCUCAACCCUGGAAUGGCCUUUGAUACUGGACGUCUUGAGUCUGGUAGAGGUUGGUGGAACUGCGAGUGUAGAGGUGAAAUUCGUAGAUAUUCGCAAGAACACCGGUGGCGAAGGCGGCCAACUGGACCAGAACUGACGCUGAGGCGCGAAAGCGUGGGGAGCAAACAGGAUUAGAUACCCUGGUAGUCCACGCCGUAAACGAUGGAUGCUAGCCGUUGGCCGGUUUACCGGUCAGUGGCGCAGCUAACGCGUUAAGCAUCCCGCCUGGGGAGUACGGCCGCAAGGUUAAAACUCAAAGGAAUUGACGGGGUCAUAGCUGUUUCCU